GUUGUUGGGUAGGGGAGCGUUCUGUAAGCCUGUGAAGGUGUGCUGUGAGGUAUGCUGGAGGUAUCAGAAGUGCGAAUGCUGACAUAAGUAACGAUAAAGCGGGUGAAAAGCCCGCUCGCCGGAAGACCAAGGGUUCCUGUCCAACGUUAAUCGGGGCAGGGUGAGUCGACCCCUAAGGCGAGGCCGAAAGGCGUAGUCGAUGGGAAACAGGUUAAUAUUCCUGUACUUGGUGUUACUGCGAAGGGGGGACGGAGAAGGCUAUGUUGGCCGGGCGACGGUUGUCCCGGUUUAAGCGUGUAGGCUGGUUUUCCAGGCAAAUCCGGAAAACUAAGGCUGAGGCGUGAUGACGAGGCACUACGGUGCUGAAGCAACAAAUGCCCUGCUUCCAGGAAAAGCCUCUAAGCAUCAGGUAACAUCAAAUCGUACCCCAAACCGACACAGGUGGUCAGGUAGAGAAUACCAAGGCGCUUGAGAGAACUCGGGUGAAGGAACUAGGCAAAAUGGUGCCGUAACUUCGGGAGAAGGCACGCUGAUAUGUAGGUGAAGUCCCUCGCGGAUGGAGCUGAAAUCAGUCGAAGAUACCAGCUGGCUGCAACUGUUUAUUAAAAACACAGCACUGUGCAAACACGAAAGUGGACGUAUACGGUGUGACGCCUGCCCGGUGCCGGAAGGUUAAUUGAUGGGGUCAGCGCAAGCGAAGCUCUUGAUCGAAGCCCCGGUAAACGGCGGCCGUAACUAUAACGGUCCUAAGGUAGCGAAAUUCCUUGUCGGGUAAGUUCCGACCUGCACGAAUGGCGUAAUGAUGGCCAGGCUGUCUCCACCCGAGACUCAGUGAAAUUGAACUCGCUGUGAAGAUGCAGUGUACCCGCGGCAAGACGGAAAGACCCCGUGAACCUUUACUAUAGCUUGACACUGAACAUUGAGCCUUGAUGUGUAGGAUAGGUGGGAGGCUUUGAAGUGUGGACGCCAGUCUGCAUGGAGCCGACCUUGAAAUACCACCCUUUAAUGUUUGAUGUUCUAACGUUGACCCGUAAUCCGGGUUGCGGACAGUGUCUGGUGGGUAGUUUGACUGGGGCGGUCUCCUCCUAAAGAGUAACGGAGGAGCACGAAGGUUGGCUAAUCCUGGUCGGACAUCAGGAGGUUAGUGCAAUGGCAUAAGCCAGCUUGACUGCGAGCGUGACGGCGCGAGCAGGUGCGAAAGCAGGUCAUAGUGAUCCGGUGGUUCUGAAUGGAAGGGCCAUCGCUCAACGGAUAAAAGGUACUCCGGGGAUAACAGGCUGAUACCGCCCAAGAGUUCAUAUCGACGGCGGUGUUUGGCACCUCGAUGUCGGCUCAUCACAUCCUGGGGCUGAAGUAGGUCCCAAGGGUAUGGCUGUUCGCCAUUUAAAGUGGUACGCGAGCUGGGUUUAGAACGUCGUGAGACAGUUCGGUCCCUAUCUGCCGUGGGCGCUGGAGAACUGAGGGGGGCUGCUCCUAGUACGAGAGGACCGGAGUGGACGCAUCACUGGUGUUCGGGUUGUCAUGCCAAUGGCACUGCCCGGUAGCUAAAUGCGGAAGAGAUAAGUGCUGAAAGCAUCUAAGCACGAAACUUGCCCCGAGAUGAGUUCUCCCUGACUCCUUGAGAGUCCUGAAGGAACGUUGAAGACGACGACGUUGAUAGGCCGGGUGUGUAAGCGCAGCGAUGCGUUGAGCUAACCGGUACUAAUGAACCGUGAGGCUUAACCUUACAACGCCGAAGGUGUUU
rnacentral:rRNA from 1 species